CUUCCUCCAGGGGACGUUUAGUCUCACUUAGAAACACAUCUGAGUUCUGGGAAACAUUACCACCAUUUAGGAUGAUAUUCAAGUCAUUUUGGACAAUCUUUGAGGAAUUUUAAACAUUUUCUUGUCGUUAUGAACACAUUUGGACUUAUUUUGGACAGAUCUGAAAAUGUUUUAAACAAAUUUGUGUGAUUUCUCAUAAGUUUAGUUUUAUUUAAAUACUAUUUUUGAACAAUUUCUGUGUACAUUUCUGUAAGUCUUCAGAGCUGAAUGUUCUAAGUGAGACUAACCUUAAAGACUGGAAGCAGGAAAGGAGAACAUCCCCUGGAGAAAACCUACCGACAACUAGAGAAAGUUCUAGAGUAGACCUACCGACAAGUGGAGAAAGUUCUAGAGUAGACCUACGGACAACUCUUAGGAUCACUGAUUAGACCGUCUAAAAGUGGUAAAUCUGUCUCUGAUUUGAGCGUUGAUCUCGACAGAACCAGAACCGAUCAGUUUCUCCGAUCAUGAUAAAGUAACAAUUCAGACUUUUUGUGCCUUUUAUAUGAAGAAACGUUGGCAGGUGAGCUUGUGUUCGGGGACUUUAAACAUGAUCUUUGUGACGAUGAAUGAAAACGUUUGUUCUGUUUGUAUUUUAUCUGAAUUGUAUCUGUCUGCAAAUCUGCUCUUGUGCUUUGAAUACAUCCAGUAAAACAGACCAGUGUCCUGCUGAUGUUUUC
ensembl:lncRNA